rnacentral:sRNA from 1 species
AUGUUCGGAAAAGGUUU